UCCAGGUGCUGGAUGUGAUGUUUCCCAGCCUCACCUGCUGACUCAGAUUUUUUUCUCCCUUGUUAAAUAAAUUGAUUAUAAGGACGCUUUUGCACAUUCUCACAAUAAAGCAUGUGCUGCACUGUGUGCGCGUCCAGACGUUUGAUCUGUAUUAAUAAACCUACGGACGCUUAUUUUGAUUUUUUGAAAUCAGAGGUGUGUCAAGCAGCCCAGAGACUCUUCUGAAUGUCCAUCAGAACUUUACAAAUUAAAAGCUCUCAGUAAACUCAACAUGAAGCUAUGCUGCAAAAAACGUUCUCUCGCUUUUAUUUUGGAGGCCGGAUCACUUAAGAGGAAGAGAUUCUGUAAGUAACUGUAGCUGUCAUGAGUUCGGUUUUAGCACCAGCCGCUAUCAGUUUAUUUUUUAUGUAUUUUUUCUGCUAUCAAAGCAAUCUGGCCACGGGCCAGAUAUUAUUGCUGGGGGGUCGGUUCUGCCUAUUGCUGACCACUGAUGUAAAGUGGGUUAGAGUCCCUAAAUGUAAAAAAAAAAAAAAUAGAAUAGAGUGGGAGAUGGGGAAUCAAAGGAUUAAAAUAAAAUAAAAUAAGCCAAGAGACCUGCCUGUUUUUUUUUCUAGAUAUCUCUACUAUAUAUAAUUUUUUAAUAUUUCCCUGUUGCUUGUAUGUUUUAUGUGAAGCAUUUUGGUGUUGAAAUGUGCUAUACAAAUAAACUUGCCUUGUCAUUGUCCCUUUGUACCUGGAGAGAACUGUGAGGCGGAGACAGCCACACCCUCUGCCCCCCGGCCUGUUACUGCGUCACACAGAAACCAGUCAAAGCUGUGGUGUUAUUGAAGCAGGUGGAGCAGGUGCAGAGAAUUCCAAUUCCAGCGGUGUCAGUGACCGCAGGUGUAACGUCUUUUCAGUGGCACGAGGACACUCGUAUCUGCGGAUAUCUGAUAGCGAGCCUUUCUGGUCAGCUGAGCAGCAGCAGAGAGGAAAACCUUCAGACUGAAGUUUGAUUUAGAAUCCAGCUGUUCAACAGACUGCAGAGGAACUCUUACUGAGAAUGGCUGAAAGUCCAAGAAGUGGGAGCAGAGACCUGCCUCCUCAUCUGUCUGUAUUAAAGAGCAAACUCAUCAAA